rnacentral:rRNA from 1 species
GAUGAACGCUGGCGGCGUGCCUAAUACAUGCAAGUCGAGCGAACAGACGAGGAGCUUGCUCCUCUGACGUUAGCGGCGGACGGGUGAGUAACACGUGGAUAACCUACCUAUAAGACUGGGAUAACUUCGGGAAACCGGAGCUAAUGCCGGAUAAUAUAUUGAACCGCAUGGUUCAAUAGUGAAAGACGGUUUUGCUGUCACUUAUAGAUGGAUCCGCGCCGCAUUAGCUAGUUGGUAAGGUAACGGCUUACCAAGGCAACGAUGCGUAGCCGCCCUGAGAGGGUGAUCGGCCACACUGGAACUGAGACACGGUCCAGACUCCUGCGGGAGGCAGCAGUAGAGAAUCUUACGCAAUGGGGGAGAGCCUGACGGAGCAACGCCGCGUGAGUGAUGAAGGUCUUCGGAUCGUAAAACUCUGUUAUUAGUGAAGAACAAAUGUGUAAGUAACUAUGCACGUCUUGACGGUACCUGGUCAGAAAGCCACGGCUAACUACGUG